rnacentral:lncRNA from 1 species
UGCUCGGAAUUUGAUUCUGAGCAUGCCCAUGGCCAAAUUGGAGUAAAAAAAAUGGCAGUGGAGUCAAAAAUUGUAGGCAAAACCAGAAACCUCCUCCGAUGAUCCCCUUCCUGUUUCCCGUUUCAUGCAAUUUUUCUACUAUUGUGUUCAGCGUUCUAUUUACUAAUGGUUGAUUGAAGAAAAACGCCUAGCCGGUAGGGUGAGCCAACUGAGCCGCCGCAC